UACGUAGGUCCCGAGCGUUGUCCGGAUUUAUUGGGCGUAAAGCGAGCGCAGGUGGUUUAUUAAGUCUGGUGUAAAAGGCAGUGGCUCAACCAUUGUAUGCAUUGGAAACUGGUAAAGUUGAGUGCAGGAGAGGAGAGUGGAAUUCCAUGUGUAGCGGUGAAAUGCGUAGAUAUAUGGAGGAACACCGGUGGCGAAAGCGGCUCUCUGGCCUGUAACUGACACUGAGGCUCGAAAGCGUGGGGAGCAAACAGG
rnacentral:rRNA from 1 species